rnacentral:rRNA from 1 species
UUGCCGCGUGAGUGAUGAAGGUUUCGGAUCGUAAACUCUGUUGUUAGGGAAGAACAAGUUGGGAUAACUGACCCAACCUUGACGGUACCUAACCAGAAAGCCACGGCUAACUACGUGCCAGCAGCCGCGGUAAUACGUAGGUGGCAAGCGUUGUCCGGAAUUAUUGGGCGUAAAGCGCGCGCAGGUGGUUUCUUAAGUCUGAUGUGAAAGCCCACGGCUCAACCGUGGAGGGUCAUUGGAAACUGGGGAACUUGAGUGCAGAAGAGGAAAGUGGAAUUCCAAGUGUAGCGGUGAAAUGCGUAGAUAUUUGGAGGAACACCAGUGGCGAAGGCGACUUUCUGGUCUGUAACUGACACUGAGGCGCGAAAGCGUGGGGAGCAAACAGGAUUAGAUACCCUGGUAGUCCACGCCGUAAACGAUGAGUGCUAAGUGUUAGAGGGUUUCCGCCCUUUAGUGCUGCAGCUAACCGCAUUAAGCACUCCGCCUGGGGAGUACGCGUCGCCAGACUGACACUUCGAAGGAAUUGACCGGGGGCCCCGCACAAGCGGUGGAGCAUGUGGCGUUAAAUUCGAAGCCACGCGAAGAAC